rnacentral:rRNA from 1 species
GGCGGACGGGUGAGUAAUGUAUAGUUAAUCUGCCCUUUAGAGGGGGAUAACAGUUGGAAACGACUGCUAAUACCCCAUACUCCUUUUACAUUAAUUGUAAUUGGGAAAUGUUUUUCGCUAAAGGAUGAGACUAUAUGGUAUCAGGUAGUUGGUGGGGUAAGAGCCUACCAAGCCAAUGACGCCUAGCUGGUCUGAGAGGAUGAUCAGCCACACUGGAACUGAGACACGGUCCAG